ACGUAAUGCAGUUUGCCCAGGAUCAGCAUGGCCUCACACAUGUACUGUGGCUGAAAUGACAAGGACAUGUUACCAGCGCCUGCCCCAAAGUUACCUUGGGGUGAACACCCCCACUGAACCUGGACCUUGUUUGCCUCAGACCUUGCUCAGAACUCCCCUCCUCCUCCAGAAAGCCUUCUUUGAUGCUCAAGCACAUGCCGACAGCUCCCCGCUCUCACCCAUGGUCUGCAGCCUACAUUGUGGUUCUCAAUAAAAUUCUCCUAUGAGUCCCUAA
ensembl:lncRNA novel transcript